AGCAUCCCCAAAGAACAUUCAAGUCUGAGCCUCAAGGAGCCUCUGCGACUCGGUGUCUAGAUCCAGGAAAUGGAGAAUGAGCCGUGACUUUGGAUGCUUCACUCUUGUCCAUCAGGCUCGGAAUUGGGUAGCCCGGCUCUGCAGGGACAGUCACGGAGCUGAAAAACUGCUGCCUAAUGAAGCUGUUUUCUUCUACCACCGGCUCACCCUCAAAUUAUUUCCUGAGCGAACUCAAGAACCUUCCUGGGCUAAGCCCCAAUUUUGGGGCUCGCCUGCCCCUGCAUCACAGCUUCCUCUUCUGUUCACAGCUGCAACCGCCUACUCAACCUUCUGCGGUUCCUCUCCCUGCCCCUCCACAGUGGCUGCUGAUGGGAGCUCUGGCUCCCUGCGUUUUCACUAUCUCCCAGUCAAAUGCAGAGUCCCUGUGCAAUUUAAAUGCUUCUCAGCUAAGAACAGAGAAGGGGAUAGCAUAAGGAUAUUCAAAAGAUUCAAGAAAUCUCAAAAGUGAUCACAAAA
ensembl:lncRNA novel transcript